rnacentral:rRNA from 1 species
AGAUUGAACGCUGGCGGCAGGCCUAACACCUGCAAGUCGAGCGGUAGAGAGGUGCUUGCACCUCUUGAGAGCGGCGGACGGGUGAGUAAUGCCUAGGAGUCUGCCUAGUGGUGGGGGAUAACGUUCGGAAACGGACGCUAAUACCGCAUACGUCCUACGGGAGAAAGCGGGGGACCUUCGGGCCUCGCGCCAUUAGAUGAGCCUAGGUCGGAUUAGCUAGUUGGUGAGUAAUGGCUCACCAAGGCGACGAUCCGUAACUGGUCUGAGAGGAUGAUCAGUCACACUGGAACUGAGACACGGUCCAGACUCCGUGCGGGGA